rnacentral:rRNA from 1 species
UACGGGGGGAGCAAGCGUUGUUCGGAUUUACUGGGCGUAGGACGGCGCGAGAGCGGCCAGCACAAGUCAGUUGUGAAAUCUCCGAGCUUAACUCGGAAAGGUCAACUGAUACUGUGCGGCUAGAGUGCGGAAGGGGCAACUGGAAUUCUUGGUGUAGCGGUGAAAUGCGUAGAUAUCAAGAGGAACACCUGCGGCGAAGGCGGGUUGCUGGGCCGACACUGA